CAAUAGCGUAUAUUAAAGUUGUUGCGGUUAAAAGCUCGUAGUUGGAUUUCUGUCGGUGAGGUUCAGUCCGCCCUCUGUGGUUGGUACGUGAUCCGCCACCGGCAUCUUCCUGGGGAAUGUGUCUGCUCUUUAUUGAGUGGUACAUAAGCCAGGACUUUUACUUUGAAGAAAUGAGAGUGUUUCAAGCAGGCAUGCGCCGUGAAUACGUUAGCAUGGGAUAAUAGCAUCGGACCUCGUUCCAAAGCUGUUGGUUUCUUGGACCGAGGUAAAGGUGAAUAGGGAUUGUUGGGGGCAUUCGUAUUUGACUGUCAGAGGUGAAAUUCUUGGAUUUGUUGAAGACGGACUACUGCGAAAGCAUCUGCCAAAGAUGUUCUCAUUGAUCAAGAACGAAAGUUAGGUGAUCGAAGAUGAUUAGAUACCGU
rnacentral:rRNA from 1 species